CCUACGGGAGGCUGCAGUGGGGAAUAUUGGACAAUGGGCGAAAGCCCGAUCCAGCCAUGCCGCGUGUGUGAAGAAGGCCUUCGGGUUGUAAAGCACUUUCAGUGGGGAAGAAAGCCUUGGGGCUAAUACCCUCGAGGAAGGACAUCACCCACAGAAGAAGCACCGGCUAACUCCGUGCCAGCAGCCGCGGUAAUACGGAGGGUGCGAGCGUUAAUCGGAAUUACUGGGCGUAAAGCGCGCGUAGGCGGUCUGAUAAGCCGGUUGUGAAAGCCCCGGGCUCAACCUGGGAACGGCAUCCGGAACUGUCAGGCUAGAGUGCAGGAGAGGAAGGUAGAAUUCCCGGUGUAGCGGUGAAAUGCGUAGAGAUCGGGAGGAAUACCAGUGGCGAAGGCGGCCUUCUGGACUGACACUGACGCUGAGGUGCGAAAGCGUGGGUAGCAAACAGGAUUAGAUACCCCGGUAGUC
rnacentral:rRNA from 1 species